GGGGUGCAUUCUGAGGGUGCAAUCAGGCGGGGAGCCAAUAGCAAGGGUGUCCCGCCGCCCAGCAUUCCCGGGAUAACCCAGCCUCUGUAACGUGAGCAACAGUUUCCGAAGACCUCAGCAGCCAGAGCCGGACGGGUAUCCAGGGUAACCGGGAAGGGGUGGAGCUUCAGGGUAGGCCCCCGCGAGGUUCUUGCCGCAGCCAAUAACGUCUCGUGGUUUCCCAGCCCAUUGUUGUUUAUUGCUGACCUCGCAGCGCUCCGCUAGGAGAUUGGCCGCUCCAGGGAAGGGGCGGAGCUUCUCCCGCCCCAGCAGCAACCUUUCGGCUCCAUUCACAAAAUUCCGGCCUUUCCUGGUCACGUGGUUGGGGGCGUGGAGGGGCAAGGGAAAUGACACAACAAAGGCCUAAGUUUCCCAAACCACAAAACUUUUUUCUACCUCGCUACCUCCUCUGUGAUUCGUCGCUGAGCAAAUACUCUAUGAGGAAAAGGAGCCUUAGGUCUGACAAGAGGAAAAGAAGUCGGAAAUUAAAGGAAGGCUCGCAUGGAGAUAAUCUCAGGGUGCACUAUGAGAAAAGCAGUGAAAGGCUUUUCGAGAAUUAAGUAGGUUGGGAAGAAAGCCUCAAGACAGACUAGUAACUUGCUGCUCCAAGCCAUUGCUUUUAGAAGUGCAAACAGUUCGAUUUCAGAUGGAUUUCAGUUUUCUCACCUAACUUCCUGAAAAGCCAAUAGACCCAGUUGCUGAAGAAUUGGAAGGACUAAAAAUCUGUUUUUCAAAAAAAGUUACCAUUGUGGAAAAUGUCUACAGAGGCAGCUGUUCUAUCCACAGAGAGGAACGUCAAAAGUUGCACAGAAUUUCCACUACUUCUGAAAACUUCUAGUAUUGUUUGUCAAAUCAGAGAAUAUUCUUUCAUGGCAACUAUUAGCUGGAGCUGGACACUGCUACUCCUUAAGAGGCAACCUGUUCCACCCAGAAAAGAAGUUACUUAUGAAUGAAAGUCUUACCCUUGUUAGGAAAGAGGAGGAUCAUUUGAAUCAAUAAAGGAAGGCAUUAUCAGAAAGGCAUUCAGGAAGCAGAAUCCCAUGCCUCAGAACCACACUGGAAUCAAGGAGUUUCAUGGGACGACUGGAAGAUGGGGGAAGGCAACUUCAGUCAACAUGACUCCUGAAGACAUACUCAAUAUGCAAGCCUACUUCUUGAAGGCCUUUUAGAAGUGGCUUUUCCUUAAAGUUUACGGCAGAACCAACUCUAUAUCAGACACUAUGCUAAACUCUAUGCAGGGCACAGGUGGGUACUGAUUUCUCUGCUUUCCUUUACAUUUGUGUCCAGCUUGCUGUGUAUCUUCUUAAAUCCUUAAGGAACUUAUUAAACCAUGAAGAAUAAAGGAAAAAUA